GACGAACGCUGGCGGCGUGCUUAACACAUGCAAGUCGAACGGAAAGGCCCUGCUUUUGUGGGGUGCUCGAGUGGCGAACGGGUGAGUAACACGUGAGUAACCUGCCCUUGACUUUGGGAUAACUUCAGGAAACUGGGGCUAAUACCGGAUAGGAGCUCCUGCUGCAUGGUGGGGGUUGGAAAGUUUCGGCGGUUGGGGAUGGACUCGCGGCUUAUCAGCUUGUUGGUGGGGUAGUGGCUUACCAAGGCUUUGACGGGUAGCCGACCUGAGAGGGUGACCGGCCACAUUGGGACUGAGAUACGGCCCAGACUCCUACGGGAGGCAGCAGUGGGGAAUAUUGCACAAUGGGCGGAAGCCUGAUGCAGCAACGCCGCGUGCGGGAUGACGGCCUUCGGGUUGUAAACCGCUUUCGCCUGUGACGAAGCGUGAGUGACGGUAAUGGGUAAAGAAGCACCGGCUAACUACGU
rnacentral:rRNA from 1 species